rnacentral:rRNA from 1 species
UCAGAAUCAACGCUGGCGGCGCGCCUAACACAUGCAAGUCGAACGAGAAAGCGGGAGCAAUCUCGCAAGUACAGUGGCGUACGGGUGAGUAACACGUGGAUCAUCUGCCCUGGAGUGGGGAAUAACGCUGGGAAACCGGCGCUAAUACCGCAUAUUCCCGAGAGGGGAAAGCAGCAAUGCGCUCGAGGAGGAGUCCGCGGCCGAUUAGUUAGUUGGCAGGGUAAAAGCCUACCAAGACGGUGAUCGGUAGCCGGCCUGAGAGGGCACACGGCCACACUGGCACUGAAACACGGGCCAGACCCCUACGGGAGGCAGCAGUGGGGAAUCUUGCACAAUGGGGGAAACCCUGAUGCAGCGACGCCGCGUGAGCGAUGAAGCCCUUCGGGGUGUAAAGCUCUUUCGGCAGGGACGAUGAUGACGGUACCUGCAGAAGCAGCUGCGGCUAACUACGUGCCAGCAGCCGCGGUAAUACGUAGGCAGCAAGCGUUGUUCGGAGUUACUGGGCGUAAAGGGUGUGUAGGCGGCCUGUUAAGUUCCGUGUGAAAUCUCCCGGCUCAACUGGGAGGGUGCGCGGAAAACUGGCGGGCUAGAGUGCGGGAUGGGAGAGUAGAAUUCCUGGUGUAGCGGUGAAAUGCGUAGAUAUCAGGAGGAAUACCGGUGGUGUAGACGGCUCUCUGGACCGUAACUGACGCUGAGACACGAA